rnacentral:lncRNA from 1 species
CAGAGGAAUAAAUUUUGAAAGCAUAUUAUAUAGAAGGGGGUAUUUUGGCUAUUAGAAGGUCAUCAACUUACAAAAAUGUAAUUGAACUGAAUGCAAUGUUUCAGAGUUCUACAAAGUUCUAUUAAAGGACAAAAUUUAAACAUUAAAAACAAAAUAGAAGAGUAUUUUUAUAGGCCUUUUUCUAGAGCACAUUCUGGAAUCAAUUGCAGUCUUAAACCUUCUAAGAGAUCUUGUUCACCUAUUGUGUUAUGACUCUUUCUUCAUGUUUGAUGGGAAGUUCUGUUGCCAAACCAGAGGUGUGCCUAUAGACAGCCUUCUUGCUGAGAUCAUUGCAGAGUUGGUCUUAAGCCAUAUUGAAACUCGUGCCUCUGUCCCUUUCAGCUACAAUAAAGUUCUUUUACAGAUAUGUUGGCAAUAUUUACAUUGUUUGGGAAGGCUCUCACUCAUCACAGCAGUUGAUAGUCUCUCUCUCAGACAAAUCCCUUGGCCUUUCUUUCAUUCUUGAUCAGUCUAGUUUAACCAUUGUUUAUUUUCUAGAUGUUAAUGUAGAUUUCUCUGGCUUGAAAGAUUGGACAUAUAUCUAUCAUAAGUCCUCUUUCAUAUCUGUUAUGAUACCAGCCUGUCUCAUGAUUCUUUAUAAGAGAUUAGCAUUUAAGACAUUAUUUAAAAGAGUUUUUUUCAUGUUUUUGAAUCAAGCUACAAAGAAUAAUGAAUAUAAUAUCUUUAUUAGUUUUGGCUUUAAAAUGUAGAUAUUCAUUUUCUUUCGUAUAUAGUAUAUUCCAAUAAAUUUGUGCCCAUCAUUUCAAUACACCUCCAUGCUCCUUACCAGCCACCUCUGUAGUCCUCCCAGAUUUGAGCCCUCUUCACUAUUGCAUUUAAGGUGUGAUUCCAUGUUUGGCUAAACUUAGAAAGAAGUUUGAAAGAAAAAUUAGUUUUCAUCUAACUUUUAAGAGAAGCAAUUAUAUUCCGUUUGCUUUGGAAUGAUAAAUAUAGAGCAGACCUAGCUUCUGGCAUUCCAGAUUAUAAUUCUGCCUCUCAUUUGCCAAAAGAAUAUGUUGGAAGGACCUGUAGAAACUUGUUGGAUAAGUUGAAAGAACAUAGGAAGGAUAUCUCUAAAGAUAAGCACUCUACUAGCCUUGUUUCCAGAUCAUAUGAGUGCAACUUAUACAGUAUAUAAUUAGACUAGACUAUAGACUUAUGCAUAUAAACUGUUGUAGUGCUAAAAUUUUCUAAGCCAAAUGAUAAAUUACUCUAUAAUGAUAACAUUAAUUUGGGAAAUAAUAAAGGAAAGGGGAAAAUAUAUAUAUAUAAUAAUAAUAUAUUAGGAAGUUAAUAACAGCAUUUACUCGAAAUAAAUAAAUUGAGACAUGCAUUCAGCAUAUGAUGUAGUGCUAAAGUAGCACUACACCAUAUACUGAAUGCAAGUGGAGCAUGUAAAUGGCAACACAGUGAAAUCAUAAGAAGAACAAAAUUCAAGAAGGUCAUUAAUGAUACUCUACUAGAAAAUCUCCCCAGUCUUGGAUAUGUUAUAUCCAGUAUUAUGUAAGUGGUUAGCAUUGUCUACUAAAAAAAUAUUUUUUCUAUUUUUAAACACAACAGAAAAAAAUAAAUAAAUCUUACUACUUAGCUAUCUUUCUAUGCUAUUUGCUUGAGACUGUGUUGAAAAAAGUUUUUUGAAUUUCUAUCAUAUAAUCUAUUUUAAAAUUUUGUUUUUGUUUUUAUUGCUAUAUGUUUUUUGUGUUUGUGUAUAUAUUUAUUCUAAC